GAGGCGCCAGGCGGGUGGCGCUGAUGGGACCACGCUCGCCUCCCCUUCCAGGCUUGCCCUGCUGCUCCCCAGGGACGUUCCUCCCUGCAGGAGGUGCGGUCAAGGUGAAGACACAGCUGAGCUCAGCCAGUGCCUCAAAGUGGCCUUUACAACCUUGUACCCAGCUCAGCCACCUGGCCUCACACUCCAAAUUCAGUGUUGUUUACCCUGUCUCAGCCCACCCUGUCCUCCUUACCUUCCACAUUUAAAAUUGCAAAAGCAUAAGUAAACACCACAAUGACACCCUUUGUUUGAAAAGUGUGAUUUUGACAUCCAAGAAGGAAAGCAGAAAUAACUUGGAGAGAAUUCAGAUUUCCCAUAGCACAGAGUUUUAGGAGAGAUUCCCCAGUGGACCUGCCUGGGCCCCACCCACCCAGCCCCAAUGUAACGCUCCCUGAGUUUCCUGCCAUGCAGCUGUUAUUAUCACCUCUGUUAUAAAACUCUCUCUCUUAACUUACAAUUAUCACCCCUUUCAUCUUUGCUGAGGGGGUUCCCUUUGAUCCAGAGGGUGGCUUCUUCCUGCUGUGAGCCUGGAGACGCCUCAACUGACAGGAGGCUGCUGAACCAUGAUUCUGAGCUCACGUGUGUCAGAAGGAUGCCAAAAAUGGUGUUCAUAUGAAGCAGAACCUCUUAGACUUUCCUGUAACUCAACUUUAGGAAGAAAACUGCAUUUCAGGGUUUGGUGGCGGUGCAUUUUACAGUCUUUUUGUUUUAAGGUGUGAUAAUACUCCAAUGAUUGUGUGAAAUAUCAUCUCUCUUAAAACAAUCAUGUAUUAUAUAAUGUCUGUCUGUGAAACAAAUUAUUUUUUAAUUCAUUAAAAUUAACACAAAAUAUACCCACGUAAACCUAAUGAACUGCCAUUUUGUUCUGGAGGGACAAUAUAAGCUAAAAAUUAAACUUCACAGGCUCAUUUAUUGUUACACAUGAAUGGAGCCUGGGCAUAGUGACUCAUGCCUAUAAUCCUAGUGCUUUGGCAGCCCAAGGCAGGAGGUUCACUUGAGCCUAGGUGUUCAAGACCAGGCUACACAACACAGGGAGACCCCAUCUCUACAGAAGAAAAUUAGCCAGGCAUAGUAGCACACACCUGUAGUCCUAGCUACUCAGGAGGCUGAGACAAGAAGGUUGUUUCAGCCCGGGAGUUUGAGUCUGCAGUGAGCCAGGAUCCUAGAUGCAGAGUGAGAUCCUGUCUCUAAAAUAAUAAAAAAAAAUUUAAAAAUUACUUGAGCACUCACCAAGCACUUUGCUGGGCCUGGAGAUAUCUUGAUGAAUACAGUGCCAUCUCCUCCUUGGAACUGCUUAUAGGUUAAUACUUAGAUGUUCUUAGUAAUGUACUAAUGCCAAGAUUAGUCCAUUUCCUCCUUACACAGUUACUCAGCCAUGCUUGAGUUUGCCUGCUGCUCCCUACUUCAUAAUUUCUCCCCACAUAGUUAACAGUCAAUGCUUCAGUUAAUUUCUGACAUAUUUUUCACUGAGAAAAUAGAUGCCACUGGCUGGGCACGUGGCUCACGCCUGUAAUCCCAGCACUUUGGGAGGCUGUGGCAGACAGAUCACCUGAGGUCAAGAGUUCGAGACCAGCCUGGCCAACAUGGAGAAACCCCAUCUCUACUAAAAAUACAAAAAUUAUCCAGGCAUGGUGGCACAUGCCUAUAAUCCUAGCUACUCAGGAGGCUGAGGCAGGAGAAUCGCUUGAACCCAGGAGGUGGAGGUUGCAGUGAGCCAAGACUAUACCAUUGCACUCCAGCCUGGGCAACAAGAACAAAACUCCAUCUCAAAAAAAUAUAUAUAUAUAUAGAUGCCGUUGCCCAGAACCUCCUGAAGCCUCCCAAAAUCAAAUGGACCAACCUACCUGCCUUCAUCCAUUCCCCACUCUGCUGGCCUCCUUCCUAUAAGCCCCAAUGCAGAGCCUGGUCCCAUCAUAGUCCAAUCCUCCACCAGAUAUUCUGCAGUUCAUCCCUCUUGUCUCCUGAAGGACUUACCUUCUAGAGCCAAACUACUUUGAAGUAUUUGUUCUGUCUUGCAGUUCACCUUCCAAAAAAGGUAGUUGUCAAAGUGGGGCCUCUAACCUGUCAGUAUCAGCAUCACCUGAGACUUGUUAGAAAUACUGAUACUUGGGCUUUGGUGGCUCACGCCUGUAAUCCCAGCACUUUGGGAGGCUGAGGUAGGAGAAUUGCUUGAUGCCAGCCUGGGCAACAUGGCAAGAUCCCUAUCUCCACAAAAGAAAGGAAAUUAGCCAGGCAUGGUGGUGCAUGCCUAUAGUCGUGUCCUAGCUACUCAGGAGGCUGAGGCAAGAGCAUUGCUUGAGCCCAGGAGUUCGAGGUUACAGUGAGCUAUGAUCACACCACUGCACUCCAGCCUGGGCAACAGAGUAAAAGUUUCUCUCUAAAACAAAUUAAAAAUUAAAUUUAAGAAAAAAAGCCCUCUGGUGUUCCUGAUGUAUGCUAAAGCUUGACAGCUGUGGAUCUAUGGCUGAAACUCCUCAAUGUUCCUCCACACCACCUCUGAAGUGUCCAAGGCAAGGUGGAUAGCUCACCAGUACCCUAACGAGAGAGCUCGCUGGAGCAGGCUGGAGGCCGCUGUCCUCAGCCCUCUCCCGAUCCUAUUUUUAUUAAUGACUUGGAUGGAAGUACUGAGGGCACGCUGAUCUCAUUAACAGAUGACAGAUAGCUGGAUGGGGUAAAGGAGAUGUUGAAUGAUGACAUCAGGACCCAAAGACACAAAGUGACGGUCCAAAUCUAUCAAGACGAAACUUAAUAGGGGAUAUUAGUUAGAAUUAGAUUCCACUUUGAGUGACAGAAAACCCAAAAUAGCACUGGCUUAUUAAGAUAGAAAUUUAUUUCUCAUUCACAUAAAUGAACUCUGGAAGUAUCAGGCCACAGUCAAUGUGGUGGCUCUGUUCCCUGGAGUUCUGAGGAUUCAAGCUCCCCAUCCAACUCACUACCAUCCUACUCAUCCAACUCAUCCACCAUUCCUACGGCCUCUUCCUCAAGCUGAAGAUGGAGACAUCCAUGUUCCAGAUAGCACAACGGAGAAAGGUUGGAGAACAGCGUCCAUUCUUGCUGGUUUUUGAGGGUUCCACAUGCUACUGCUGUGCUUCUGCUUGCAUCCUAUUGGCCAAAGUUGUGCCUAUUGGCACAGAGGCAAUGGACACUAAGAAUUGUAGUCUAUUUGUCUAAGCAGCUCAGCUAAAAAUGCUAUUACAUGGACAAAAGAGAGAGCAAAUAUUGGGACACAAUAAGCAGUCUCUGCCAACCAAAGCAAAAAUAAAGCCUGUCGGGCUGGGUGUGGUGGUUCAUGCAUAUAUUCCCAGCACUGUGGGAGAUCAUGGUGGGAGGAUCACUAGAAGCUAGGAGUUCAAGAGCAGCCUGAGCAACGUAGCAAGACCCUGUCUACAAAAACAAUAAAAAUCAGCCAGGUGGCCAAAUGUGAUGGCUCACACCUGUAAUCCCAGCACUUUGGGAGGCUGAGGCAGGCAGAUCCCAAGGUCAAGAGAUCGAGACCAUCCUGGCCAACACAGUGAAACUCCGUCUCUACUACAAAUACAAAAAUUAGCUGGGCGUGGUGGCGCACUCCUGUAGUCCCAGCUACUCGGGAGGCUGAGGCAGGAGAAUCACUUGAACCAAGGAGGUGGAAGUUGCCAUGAGCCAAGAUCACACCACUGCACUCCAGCCUGGUGACAGAGUGAGACUCGGAGACUCUGUCUCAAAACCAAAAAAAAAAAAAAAAUUAGCCAGGCAUGUUGGCAUGCACCUAUAGUACCAGCUACUCAGGAGGCUGAGGCAGGAGGAUCUCCUGAGCCCAGGAGUUUAAGGCUGCACUGAGCUACGAUCAUGCCACUGCACUCCAGCCUGGGUAACAGAGUAAGAUCCUGUCUCAAAGCAAUUAAAAAUAAAUAAACAAAAGCCCUUCAUAUAAUCCCUAAAAUGCAAACGCCCCUCCAAGGUUUUGGUGUUAAAGAAGGAGGUAGGCAGUAAUAACCACACAAGCAGUCCUCAGCUGUUCCCGUGCGAAGACAGAAAACCCAAGCCAUACUGGGUUUUAAGUAAAAAGAGAAGAUGUGGGAUACAUAACUGACAUUUCCAGAAACAGUAUUAGCUUCAGGAAUGUCUCAAAUGAUGUCAGCAAAAUUUGACUCUCUUCCUAGCUCAGCUCCACAGCCUCCCAUGCUAGGUUUAUUCCUGGGCUAUACAUGGUGGCAAGAUGUCCAUCAGCAGGUCCAGGUUCCCAUCUCCUGGACCUUUGGUGAGAGCAGGGAGAGAGUCAAGUUCACGCUCCUCUACCCUCACCUCCACUCAUUCUUCAGGUCAGCUUCCUCCAGCAAGGUGGUUCUCAACCCUGGCUAUGCAUUUUUAGAUUCCUGAUGCCCAGGAUCCCAUCCCCAAAUCUGGUUUUAUUGUUUCACGGUAGGGGACUGGCACUUUAAAAAUCUCCCCAGUGAUUCUCUGCUGAUUCUCCUGAGCAUCCAGGGUGGAGAACACCUGCUCUCACAUUGUGGGAAAAUGGACUCUUUCCCUCUCUGGAGUCACUUCCCGAGAUGCUCUCUGUGGAGGUCAUGCGUCUCCAUCAAGUUCUGCCUCACCGUGGCCCCUUCACUGUACUGCUGGUCACCAUGUCACCCCCUGCACCUGUGUUCCCUUCAUGGGAUCCAGCUUUUCUUUAUGGGGCCUGAGGGAGAGAAAGCCAAGGAGGCACCUCUUGACUGUCCUACCCUUCCAUCUCUCCAAUCACCUGGUUAUCAAGGUUGACUUUCUUUUAUUGAAGGACUGGGGAAAUUUUAAAAGGGAAAUACCAGUAAGAAGAAAAAUAUUCUACAUUUUGGGGCCAUCUGCUCAUAGUCUAUAAUGGAAAUUGAGGACUAGGACUUGAGGAAUGUCAACAAUAAAAGCUCCAUAGCAAGGAUUAGCCCAUCAAAGAAACCGUGAAGGAUUAGCUAGAGAGGCCACAGGAAACCCACAAGAGCACAGACUUCUGGAAGAAAACAGAGGCUGGAAAUGAUCAGAGACUAAGUGACUUACUGCUCCAUUCUUCUGUCUAGCGACCCUUACCUGUCAUCCACACUGGUGACUACUUCUUUCAAUGAAAUACAAAAUUCCAAAUUUCACAUGAAGCUCAAGUUACUACCUUUUGGCUGGGCAUGGUGGCUCACGCCACUUUGGGAGGCCAAGGUGAGAGCGUUGCUUGAGCACAGGAGUUUGAGAGCAGCCUGAGCAAUAUAGCAAGAUCCCCGUCUCAAUUUUUUAAAAAGUUACUACCUUUUGACACGUUAUGAGUAGAUAUUCAGAUUUCUUUACAAUAAAACAGGGGCUCAUGAAAGGCUAGAUCUUAAAAGAUAGGGCUCCUCAAAUCCCACAAAUAUUAAAUCAGAUGUCUGUGGUUCCCAAACUAUGUGCUGAGGUACGCUGGGUCACUGUAGUGAAGAAGAUGAGCACUGCAGGAGGUUUCAAGCUUUUGAGGGAAACAAGGUGACAUCUGCCAGGCACUGUACAAAUGCUACCAUUAAGUUAUUUGGACUUUAAUAAACCAAAAUGUUUUAUAUCUAUAUUUGUAUAUAUAUAUGUGUGUGUGUGUGCAUAUAUAUAAAAAUCUAUAUAUAUAUAUAUAAAUCUAUAUAUAUAAAUCUAUAUCUGUAUAUAUAAAUCUAUAUCUAUAUAUAUAUAUAAAUCUUUUGGCCUAGGGCCCAUGCAUAAAUAACUGAAUGACUAUAGCUAUGAACUGAGAAAGUUUGGGAACUUCUAAAAUAGGUAACUGAUUGACCACAGCAGACCAAUAGCUCUCUCUCUCUUCAUCCUACUUGGCAUCAUUGCAGCUGUCAGCCUAAAAAUAUGACACCCCAAAAGCACAAGUAUUUUUUCCUUUUUACAGCUCUAAGGGAAUUGUUUCUGUUCAGAAACUAUAAACAACCUAUGGGUUGAGAGAAAUUAGAAUGUACAAUAGAAAUAAUCUAAAUAACGUACUAAAUUAAAAUAUUUUAUUUCAAACCAUGACACAUCUGAAGAAACUGAAUUUACAUUCAGAAUAUUUUCAGAUUUUAUAUGCUUUGCCUUCAGCCAAGCACUUCAGGGUAGGUGUUUUAAAAUCAAACAAGGAAAUAAAACCAUGAGGUUAUAAUCAUAGGCUAUAUCCUGUUUAUGUCAAUUAAAUUUGUUCAAUCUCACAACCAAAGAGCAAAUGUCUAAUUCUGGUUUUCUAUCUGUGUGUGUCAGGAUAGUCUUGACUGUGUUUCAGUAAGUCCCCAAAAGGGAAACGCUAAAAUAUCAGUGGAUGAACUGAAAAAAAAAAAAAAAAGCCUUAUUUCUCACUUACAGAAGUCUGCUGUGGUUUAAAUGUCUUUCUUCCAUUCUGUAGCUAUGUCAACUGAAACACCUGGCCUUCAGAGUCAUGAGUCAAGGAAAGAAAGAGAGGCAGGAAGCAUUACUAGCUCUUAAUUGCCACAGCCUAGGAGUGACACAGGUUACUCCCAUUCACAGUUCAUUGGCCAGAACUUGUCAUGUGGCUAUACCCUCUCUGCAAGAGAUGCUGGGAAAUGCAGGGGAGACCAUGGAGACUUGGAGAGCACUCUCUCUCCCUGCCACAAUCCACUUAGUUAUAGAACAGCAAGAGAGAAUAUGAAUUCAAUAAUUCAUUCAUUCAUUCACUAGACGAUAUUUAUUGAGGACCUGCUAUGUGUUGGAUGUUGUGCUUAUGUUCUAGUAGGGAAUGAUAGACAAGAAACAAGAUAGCAAAAAAUAAACAAGAAGAUAAUCACAGAUUGUGGUGUGCACUCUUAAUUAAAUUGUUCAACACAGCUUCUCUGCUAUAGCGACGUUUUGUCAAUUUUUAGAUUCUGUGUGGAUGCUGAUGAAUCAACAGUAAGACUAUUUGCUAUUAAUCAUAUCACCUCUCCUGCCAUGACUGGACCUCCAUGUUGGAAUUCCAUCAGAUUUGAUUUAUUGACAAGCAAAGUUUCAAAAUAUGUUAAACUUAAUUUUAAAUUGAGGUUAAAAAAUGUUAUGCACAUAAUAAUUUCAUCCCAAGAACUGGACUCUAUGAGACAAUAUGGAAAUCCAUACAUUAUUAUGCUAACAUAGCAAUUCCUGGCCGUUGAGAUUAUAUGUAAUUUUCUUUUUUUCAUUUACAGCAACUCAUAUAUAUUUUCUAAUUCAUCUUUAAGAAACAUUGGUUAUUUAUUAAUAUAAUAAUGAAAAAUAAAAUGUAUAAAGACUGUCUAUGUGGGUUAAAAGGCUAAAUAACUUAUAGGUUAUACAAAUUAUCCCAGGAGAACAAAGGUGUAAUUUUUUGAGUUUGCUAUUGGGAAAGUCAAGAAAGCAGCCACAUUUGGAACACGUGGGGGUGUUCUCAGAGUUAGGAUUCUUUUUCUCUUGUGGGAUGGGAAAAUUGGGCUUUCUUGGAAGAGAGAAAAAAGAGAUAAUAGUAUGAUGCUCUACGAAAAGGGAAUAUAGCUGUUCUGGAAUAAAUCUGAAAAGGUUUUUUACUUCUAAGUCCAUGCUGUAUAACAUCAUCAGCCCACAGGGAGGGAGUGUGCCAGUUACCUGCAUGACAAUGCAAUUCAGUGUAAGACCUAAAGAUGCUGGAAAUCAGCACACUCUGUGAGGUUUGGGGAGAAUGGGGCGGGGGGGAGCCCCAUUUGCUGAGGCCCAAGCAAUAAGCAUGAGAAAGCACAGGAUGAGUCCAGAGUCACAGUUCAUUUACCCAGUGAGGUCAACGAACAAGGGAAGAUGACAAAUUUGCCUGGAGAUUCUUCUGGGCAUUAGAACAAUAAUAACUACAGUAAUGGUGAUGAUGAGGAUGCGCAGUUCUGGAGUCUUAAUAGAAUGCCAGGAAAUGUACUACAGGUGUUAUUUGCAAUAUCUCAUUCAAGGUAUUGUUUACAGGUUCAUUCAUAUCCAUGUUAUAGAUUCCACUAUUUUAAUGUCUUGGCCUGCUCUGUGGGAGCAUCGUCACAGGAGGGUGAGGUGUGGAAGAAUACUUCAAGGUUCAGGCAGGUAACAAUUCCCAGGUGCAAAGAGGCAGGAGCCCAGAAAGCGCAGGCAGCGAGCCCACGCAGCAAGCGAUAUGGAGGUUACAUUAAUAAUAAAUAUAUAAAGUGAUUUACUAUUUCUGGAUGGGAAAAAAUUCUUGAUGGGAAAGAAUUCUUUUUCUUACUCGGGAAUUCUCCACUGAAUGCUAAGUGAAGACUAAAGAACUGGAAUCAUAAAAGAAGGCAUAUGGGGAAUGAUCCAGAACGUGGCAAAUUAUCCUUGCUCUUUUUUUGCUGCAUUCCAUUAAGCACUUAUUCCGUUCCCUUCCCAUCUUGGGGCACAAUUCUGGGACUGUGGAAACAUCUUUAAGCCAAAAGUGAGGGCCAGGAAGGAAAAUGUUAAGAAGUAUCUUGAAUGGCUGUUUCUCUAGGCACAGGCAAUAGAACAUAUCUGAAAGGAGAGCCAAAAAACUGUCCAUAAU
rnacentral:lncRNA from 10 species